rnacentral:rRNA from 1 species
UGGGGAAUAUUGCACAAUGGGCGCAAGCCUGAUGCAGCAACGCCGCGUGAACGAUGAAGGUCUUCGGAUCGUAAAGUUCUGUUGCAGGGGAAGAUAAUGACGGUACCUAACCAGAAAGCCACGGCUAACUACGUGCCAGCAGCCGCGGUAAUACGUAGGUGGCAAGCGUUGUCCGGAAUUAUUGGGCGUAAAGCGCGCGCAGGUGGUUUAGAUAGUCUGAUGUGAAAGCCCACGGCUCAACCGUGGAGGGUCAUUGGAAACUAAUAAACUUGAGUGCAGGAGAGAAAAGUGGAAUUCCUAGUGUAGCGGUGAAAUGCGUAGAGAUUAGGAGGAACACCGGUGGCGAAAGCGGCUUUUUGGCCUGCAACUGACACUGAGGCGCGAAAGCGUGGGGAGCAAACAGG